rnacentral:lncRNA from 1 species
CUCUCUCUCCCUCCUCUCUCUGUCACACACAUUUGCACAUCCUGCAGUGUGAAUGGAGUAUGAAUGUGUGUGGUAGGCGACAGCUGUGUGUGUACGUCCGGGUGCGUGUGUGCGUGUGUACAUGUGAGCGUGUGUGCACGUGAGUUAGAGCCUGAGUGUCCCCUGCGUGGGUUAGUGUGUGCGCCCGCCCGGUGCCCUCCGUCUUGGGAGUCUGGGCUGCUGCUCCGCGGGCUCUGGAGCCGGCGCUCCCCACGAGCCCGGACUCUCCGCCGCGCCCGGGAGCUGCGCAAUCGGCUGCUAAGACGCCGGCGCCACCGGCUGGGCCCUGUUCUCCCCUCUCUUUUCUACAGUCUUACCCGCAGCUGACAGGGUUCGAAAGAGCAUGAAACGGAGGAGACGUUACAGCAACGUGUCAGCUGAAAUGAUGGGCGUAGACGCACGUCAGCGGCGGAAAUGGUUUCUAUCAAAAUGAAAGUGUUUAGAGAUUUUCCUCAAGUUUCAAAUGAGGCGAAUCCCGUUUUCCGCGAUGCUGCAGCGCGCGGGUUUUAACCGCAGGGUCACGCGGAACGCCGCGCCGCGCGACUGUGCCUCGGUCUCUGCGCCCGGCUCUCCCUCCGGUCCGCAAGAGGAGGAAGGCCCGCGGCGUGCCGAGGUCAGCGGCGCGGAGCCACCAGGCGAGACGGUCACGGACGCCUGAACCGAGGUCACCGAGGCCACGGGGCCGGGAGGCCCUCAGCAGAGCCCGGGGGCUCCGCACCUCAAGGCCGGCCAGGAAGAAACAGCAGCAGGAGCCCAGGGCGCCCCGGGGAGCCCCCGACACGCGGGCCGAGCGCCCAGAGCGGCCCAGGCCCUCGCGAGGAGACCGGCCUCCCCAGGGCGGGGCUUCCGACUCGGGCGCCCGUGAGCCCCGGAGGCGGCGCGAAGGGGCAGAGUCCGCGUUUCUAACCAGCCCCCGGCCCACCCGGCCCCGCUGCGCGCCCCUCACGCUGCAGCCUGGGAACCUGGGCCGGGAGCUGCGGGCCGCUCCGGGGAAGCGGGCCUGACCUCCCCUCCCCACCGCCGCCCCUGCGGUGAGAUCCUGCCUGCCGGGGCGCAGGGGCCCGCGGUUGGGCUCCGGGAGACGGAAGAGGCCCCACAGCUCGGGCCCCACGCAGUGGACGCUGCCACUUAAUUUUGGCGUAAUUGAUGUCAAGGCGGGUGCCCGGGCCCCCAGUGAAAUGCCUCAUGAACUCGCUGCGAGGAACGGCGCUCCACGCGGUGCACGGUGGCCAAUCAGAGCUGCCGCUUCUGAUGGAGGCUGAGCCGGCUGGGGAGGCGUCUUGGCCAAGAACCAGCCCCAGCCUCGCUCAGGGCCCCAACCCGCAGACCAUGUAAUUAAGCUGCGUUCUGCAGCCAGGGCAAGAGUCUCAGCUCUGAACAUCUUCCCGCACCUCUGAGGAGCCAGGCCUGGAAACCCUCUAAAAUAGAUUUUUCUGCCUCAAGACAGAAGAUGGGCGUUCCAGGCAGAGAAGAGCUGCCCAGUCACGUGCUCUGCUCCACCUGGUCAGAGACCCUUGACCUUUAGAAGACUGGACCUGAGGGCGUGGCUGGUGGACCUGAGGGCGUGGAUGGUGGACCUGGCCACCCAGCUGUAGCUUUUUGGGUUCCUGUGGUCCCAUUUCUUGGGUCAAUCUCACACCUGGCAGCUCCCAGGAAGACACCCCCAGGCCCCUCACACUCCUGGGGGCAGCUGGAAUUGGCUUCAGGGCGGGACCAGGGGCCCCAUGGGUGUUUGGAAUCCCUGAUCUGGGUCAGGCACCGGCAGCAGGAUUCCAGCCUGGCCUGGACUCUGGUGUGUCCCGUUUGAAGAAACCCCGCCCUGUGAAAGUUCAAGUUUAGCAUCCAAUGACCCAUUUAAGAGGUUUGCUGAGCCACGUCACAGGAGGGUCUGGGUGCAAACGGAGGUGGCAACACACAGAGCGAGCCUUGAGCACCCAGGUUACCCCCAGGACCUCCAGUCUGGCUUGGGGGCUCCUGCUGUCCUGUGGAGCAGCCCCCUGGGAUCAGGGACGGGGCUGAGCUGGAGAGUGUGCAGGAUUGAUUAAUGAUGUCUGCCACGGUCAGGCCAACUGCUGUGUUUCUGGGGCCCACAAGCUAAAAAUGGUUGGAAAAAAAUCAAAACAUUAAUAUUUGUGACAUAUGAGAAUGCUAUGAAAGUCAACUUUGCUAUCCAUAAAUAAAGUUUUAUUGACAUA